UACGAAGGGUGCUAGCGUUGUUCGGAAUUACUGGGCGUAAAGCGCGCGUAGGCGGCGAUCCAAGUCAGAGGUGAAAUCCCAGGGCUUAACCCUGGAAUUGCCUUUGAAACUAGAUCGCUAGAAUAUCGGAGGGGAUAGCGGAAUUCCUAAUGUAGCAGUGAAAUGCGUAGAUAUUAGGAGGAACACCGGUGGCGAAGGCGGCUAUCUGGACGAUUAUUGACGCUGAGGCGCGAAAGCGUGGGGAUCAAACAGG
rnacentral:rRNA from 1 species